UUCACCGCUACAAAUUUCUGCAUUCCACUUGUUACCCAAAGAACAUGCGAGAUGAAUCUCAUAGGACGGCCAAUUUUCGGUGCCGGAGAUGGACCAACCACAAGAACCGACGGUAAACACAACCAAACGCUGUAUAUUCUCAUCUUCAAUAUUCAAAUUCCUCUCUCCUUAUAUCUCUGUUUCUUCUCAAUUCCUACAUCGCUCGUUUUCUGUUUUAGUAAUUGAAAGAUGAUCAUUGUGGAUGAUCGCUGUAGAGAAGCUAUUUGAUUCUUCACAAUGAAAGGCGCACUCUAAAGUAAGUAGGUAACUUGAAUGUAUUGCCUACGAGCACCAUAUGAUGCUCUUCACAGCAGCGUUAUUGUUUGGUUUGGAACUGCGCGGUGUCAAUAUUUGGAAGGAAGGAAUUAUUCUUUAUCACGGUUUUCAUCCUCCGGGUAAGUCAAAAGUAACUCCUA